AGGUCAGUAGCUCUAAUGGUAGAGCGUCGGACUCCAAAUCCGAAUGCUGGGGGUUCGAGUCCCUCCUGACCUGCCA
rnacentral:tRNA from 1 species